AUUGCAAUAACUGGUUAAAACCAGUAAAUGGUUAAAACAUGUAUGUACAAAAUGUUAAAGUUAUAUCUGUUUCCAUCUCGUAACUGGAUGACAUGUUGUUGUAGAUGACACUGACUUUGGAUGGACGUCGACGGAUUGGUGUGCAGCGGCCGACGCCAUUGUUUCCAUGUGUUAGCAAGGACAGAGUAAAUCAGGAAAGAGGGGAUGAAAUGCAGCAAAGGGCCCAAGGUUGGAACCGAACCUGCGGCUGCUGCAACAAGGACUGAGCCUCUGUACAUGGGAUGCAUGCUCUACCAGGUGAGCUACCCAGGUUUCCUCUUCUCACGUAUAUAAUCAAAGUGUAUUCAGCUAUGAAGCAUUUUCUCUUACAGGAAACGUAUUUUAGUAUUUCUCCCCUGUUUUUCUUUAAUGGUCUUUUGGUUCUGUGAUAGUUGGCUGGGAUGAUAGGUAUGGAAUUAGUUUUUGUCUGAUUUCAAAUAGUAUAUGUACACAUGCUGGAACAGCAUUAUAUGCAAAGUAAUUUUUGGUCUGCUUUGUUUAAAAAAAAAAAAAAAAAGGAAAAACAAAAUAAACAUUGGCUUUAAAA